rnacentral:lncRNA from 1 species
AGUGAGGGACAAAAUGCCAGUGAUAAGCCCAGUUUUCAUGACUAGACCUCGGUGACUUCCAUGAAACCACAACAUAUUCCAUGAAAAAGGAUUUAUUCCUUCAUGUAAUUUCCCAAUCUAGCAGCAACCACAUAUAAGAAGAAAGCAAUAAAUUUGUUUAGUAAUAAUUAGUCUCAUGUCAAAUAGUGAGAAUUGGAGAUGAGAGCAGUGGCUUACUACACUGAUGCCAUGAUUUUGAGCCUUGAUUGCAAAAGCCAGGACAGUAGAGAUUAUGACACACAUAAGAGGAGCUCCAGCAGAGACCCAGAAUAGCUUUGGUUUUCUUAUGCUCUGCAUUGCAUUUGUAUGCAUUUAUUUGGAUUACUUAGUCCAGCGGAAGUUGUUAUAUAUGUAUGCAAGGAACUAGUGGUCACCUCAAUUUUUUUUAAAUAGUAUGUUUAAAUAUGCAGAGUGGUAUCAAUUUUUGUUUUAAUACUACAAAUGUAUGCGUGUCGGCGUGUAUUUCCAAAUGAGACAGAAAAAGGUUAUUAUUGAUGAUGUUG